rnacentral:rRNA from 1 species
GACGAACGCUGGCGGCGUGCUUAACACAUGCAAGUCGAACGGAAAGGCCCUGCUUUUGUGGGGUGCUCGAGUGGCGAACGGGUGAGUAACACGUGAGUAACCUGCCCUUGACUUUGGGAUAACUUCAGGAAACUGGGGCUAAUACCGGAUAGGAGCUCCUGCUGCACGGUGGGGGUUGGAAAGUUUCGGCGGUUGGGGAUGGACUCGCGGCUUAUCAGCUUGUUGGUGGGGUAGUGGCUUACCAAGGCUUUGACGGGUAGCCGGCCUGAGAGGGUGACCGGCCACAUUGGGACUGCGAUACGGCCCAGACUCCUACGGGAGGCAGCAGUGGGGAAUAUUGCACAAUGGGCGGAAGCCUGAUGCAGCAACGCCGCGUGCGGGAUGACGUCCUUCGGGUUGUAAACCGCUGUCGCCUGUGACGAAGCGUGAGUGACGGUAAUGGGUAAAGAAGCACCGGCUAACUACGUG